CCCUUAGAUGUCCUGGGCCGCACGCGCGUUACACUGAUGCAUUCAACGAGCUUAUAACCUUGGCCGAGAGGCCUGGGCAAUCUUGUUAACGUGCAUCGUGAUAGGGAUAGAUUAUUGAAAUUAUUAAUCUUGAACGAGGAAUUCCUAGUAAACGCAGAUCAUCAAUCUGCAUUGAUUACGUCCCUGCCCUUUGUACACACCGCCCGUCGCACCUACCGAUUGGAUGGUCCGGUGAAGCCUCGGGAUUGUGGUUCUUGCCGUUUUAUUGUGGCGUGACCGCGAGAACUUGUCUAAACCUUAUCAUCUAGAGGAAGGUGAAGUCGUAACA
rnacentral:rRNA from 1 species